rnacentral:rRNA from 1 species
CGGGGGACAAAGUGACAGGUGGUGCAUGGUUGUCGUCAGCUCGUGUCGUGAGAUGUUGGGUUAAGUCCCGCAACGAGCGCAACCCUUAAGCUUAGUUGCCAUCAUUAAGUUGGGCACUCUAAGUUGACUGCCGGUGACAAACCGGAGGAAGGUGGGGAUGACGUCAAAUCAUCAUGCCCCUUAUGAUUUGGGCUACACACGUGCUACAAUGGACAAUACAAAGGGCAGCGAAACCGCGAGGUCAAGCAAAUCCCAUAAAGUUGUUCUCAGUUCGGAUUGUAGUCUGCAACUCGACUACAUGAAGCUGGAAUCGCUAGUAAUCGUAGAUCAGCAUGCUACGGUGAAUACGUUCCCGGGUCUUGUACACACCGCCCGUCACACCACGAGAGUUUGUAACACCCGAAGCCGGUGGAGUAACCUUUUAGGAGCUAGCCGUCGAAGGUGGGACAAAUGAUUGGGGUGAAGUCGUAACAAGGUAGCCGUAUCGGAAGGUGCGGCUGGAUCACCUCCUUUCUAAGGA